rnacentral:rRNA from 1 species
ACAUGCAAGUCGAACGGGAAUUACUUUAUUGAAACUUCGGUCGAUUUAAUUUAAUUCUAGUGGCGGACGGGUGAGUAACGCGUGGGUAACCUACCUUAUACAGGGGGAUAACAGUCAGAAAUGGCUGCUAAUACCGCAUAAGCGCACAGAGCUGCAUGGCUCAGUGUGAAAAACUCCGGUGGUAUAAGAUGGACCCGCGUUGGAUUAGCUUGUUGGUGGGGUAACGGCCCACCAAGGCGACGAUCCAUAGCCGGCCUGAGAGGGUGAACGGCCACAUUGGGACUGAGACACGGCCCAGACUCCUACGGGAGGCAGCAGUGGGGAAUAUUGCACAAUGGGGGAAACCCUGAUGCAGCGACGCCGCGUGAAGGAAGAAGUAUCUCGGUAUGUAAACUUCUAUCAGCAGGGAAGAUAGUGACGGUACCUGACUAAGAAGCCCCGGCUAACUACGUGCCAGCAGCCGCGGUAAUACGUAGGGGGCAAGCGUUAUCCGGAUUUACUGGGUGUAAAGGGAGCGUAGACGGUGUGGCAAGUCUGAUGUGAAAGGCAUGGGCUCAACCUGUGGACUGCAUUGGAAACUGUCAUACUUGAGUGCCGGAGGGGUAAGCGGAAUUCCUAGUGUAGCGGUGAAAUGCGUAGAUAUUAGGAGGAACACCAGUGGCGAAGGCGGCUUACUGGA